rnacentral:rRNA from 1 species
AUUGAACGCUGGCGGCAUGCCUUACACAUGCAAGUCGAACGGUAACGCGGGGCAACCUAGCGACGAGUGGCGAACGGGUGAGUAAUGCAUCGGAACGUGCCUGGUAGUGGGGGAUAACUGCUCGAAAGAGCAGCUAAUACCGCAUACGACCUGAGGGUGAAAGGGGGGGAUCGCAAGACCUCUCGCUAUCAGAGCGGCCGAUGUCGGAUUAGCUAGUUGGUGGGGUAAAGGCCCACCAAGGCAACGAUCCGUAGCUGGUCUGAGAGGACGACCAGCCACACUGGGACUGAGACACGGCCCAGACUCCUACGGGAGGCAGCAGUGGGGAAUUUUGGACAAUGGACGCAAGUCUGAUCCAGCCAUGCCGCGUGCGGGAAGAAGGCCUUCGGGUUGUAAACCGCUUUUGUCAGGGAAGAAAUCUUCUGGGCUAAUACCCUGGGAGGAUGACGGUACCUGAAGAAUAAGCACCGGCUAACUACGUGCCAGCAGCCGCGGUAAUAC